rnacentral:rRNA from 1 species
UACGGGGGGAGCAAGCGUUGUUCGGAUUUACUGGGCGUAAAGGGCGCGUAGGCGGUCAGCACAAGUCAGUUGUGAAAUCUCCGGGCUUAACUCGGAAAGGUCAACUGAUACUGUGCGACUAGAGUGCGGAAGGGGCAACUGGAAUUCUCGGUGUAGCGGUGAAAUGCGCAGAUAUCAGGAGGAACUCCGAUGGCGAAGGCAGCUCGCUGGGACGGUACUGACGCUGAGGCGCGAAAGCGUGGGGAGCGAACAGG